GUCUUACUUACAUUUACCCCAGCGCGGGAAAGAGGAGGGCAUGGGGACCUCCGUUUUACUUUCUUACUGACCCCCUGUGUUUCUGCCAACACCAAGUGCCUGGAGUAGGCUGAUUCCAUCUGGUGGCUUCACCUGUCUCGGAUGGUGCCAGAACUCCUUUCAAUCAAAAACAUUUAGCUAAGGAGCCCCGUGUAGACACAUGAGGACGGAUGGCUUUCUCUCGAGAACCCAAGGCGACCACAGAGGCUGGGAGAGAAGCCGUACUGACUCCUUCCUCGAGGGUCUCCGCCCGCCUCGGCCAAGGCCCCGGGUCCCAUGCAGGCACGCGUGGAUGAAGGGACAGUGACAGAGCCCAGGGGGCGUUUCAGGAACUGCAAGCAGUUAAGAGACUUGUCUGAGGCCACACAGCCAGCAAGCACAGAGUUGGGACCUGAACCCAGGGUCACUUUGGAUGUGGCCCCUUUCUCCGCAGUCCUGCCUGGUGUCUCCCAGGAUGGAGACCCACCCAAGCGUGA